CGCACACAUAACAGUCCGGGUGAAGGGAAGAGGGUGCGAAACCCUCGCGGUCCCGCCGCUGUGACUGGGGACGAAGCCCGCGGUAGCCACUGGCGUAGCGCGUAAGACGUGAAACGUAAAACAUGAGACGAUGCCCCGGGGUUCCGUCUCAUGUCCACCGUCUCACCUCUCACGGCUGUGCUGGGAAGGCGCGGGGAGUAGGUGAGACCCCAGAAGCCAGAAGACCUGCCCGGAAGGGGAGCCUGCC
rnacentral:ncRNA from 2 species